UUGUGCGCGCAGCCUGGACUCAAAAAAGACUCAGCGACGGUCAGACUGACUUUUGGCGACGGUAGAGAGGAGAAGAAAUAUUUGGAAGAAAUGCCUAGUUGUUGUGUUGUCAGGUGUCAGAAUCGUAGCAGUGAUGGGGUUAAAAUGUUCAGAAUUCCAGCAGGAUCUCACCCAUUCCAAAAAAAUCGCCGACGUCUAUGGCUACAAGCCAUCAAACGUGUAGACUGGGAUGAAAGCACCAUCAAAAAUGCGCGGGUUUGCAGCGCCCACUUCAUCACAGCUCAUAAUGCCGGUCUAUGGGCAGCGCCAUUGUUUCUGAGUCCAGGCUGCGCGCGCAUCCUGGCAACGGUCGGUUUGUUUACAAACAUGCGAAGGGGUCUGAACAUACCAAUGGAACAGUUUCCAGCGCGCUCGGGGGUGAAUAGCUGGAAAAGUCAUUGGAUUUUGUUGCUGUUACGUGUUGAGAAUGAGUGUGUUGGGGAGGAGGACGCUGCAGCUGUUAAAAAGCUGGAUGCUGAAAUAAAAUGCAGCUGGAAGUGGACCUGGCUUUAACUGGAGGGCAAGGUAUCCAUGAAGGGACAAGAGGGGUCAUUUCACAUAGGUGAUGUCUUUAAGAAAAUUGACAGACAGGGAUUGGCCAGGUGUGUCCUCUGCCACAAGGACAUAAACUAUGCGAAAAAGGGCAGCCAUGCUUUGAUGGCUCAUGUCCAAACAGAAAUACAUAAGAAGAAGAUGGAAAUCAUUGCAUCCACACACAGGAGAAGCAGGCCAGGCUGAGGCACGCAGCUAAACACAGGAAGAGGGCCUGUGAACUCCUGGUGCAGGCCAAAAAGAAAAAAAAAUAAAAUGGCUGUAAAGAAAGCGUCCACUUGAAUUGAAUUGUUGUCCAAUAAAGACAUGUUUAUGGAAAGUUAUUUUGUACUGUAUUAAAUUCAAGAUGUCACUGGUUGCAAUUUUUUUUGUAACGUAAACUACGAAAUGUACUUUUGCGCACGUGCCGUGCGUCCGUGCACCCUUCUCACCUUUU